UUCCUUGUAAUGGUGUUCAAAUAUAUUAUUUUUAUUGAUUACAUUUCCUUUUCCCCCCCACCCAGGGUGAAGAGGGACAAAAGGGAGAUCCAGGACUGGAUGGCAUUCAUGGAAAAGAUGGUUUGAAAGGUGACUUGGGUCCUCCAGGUCCACGUGGCCAGAAAGGAGAAAAGGGAGAAAUGGGACCUCCAGGACCACCAACCUUAAUCGGUUCCUUAGGACUAGAAGGUCCCCAAGGUCCACCUGGGAAAGAAGGUCAAAGGGUAAGUAAACUUUGAACAACUGGCAGGCAUUAACUAAGCCCAGUCAUUUUGUGUCUCUGAACACCAAUAA
rnacentral:lncRNA from 1 species